rnacentral:rRNA from 1 species
ACUCCUACGGGAGGCAGCAGUGGGGAAUAUUGGACAAUGGGGGCAACCCUGAUCCAGCCAUGCCGCGUGUGUGAAGAAGGCCUUUUGGUUGUAAAGCACUUUAAGCAGGGAGGAGAGGCUAAUGGUUAAUACCCAUUAGAUUAGACGUUACCUGCAGAAUAAGCACCGGCUAACUCUGUGCCAGCAGCCGCGGUAAUACAGAGGGUGCGAGCGUUAAUCGGAAUUACUGGGCGUAAAGCGAGUGUAGGUGGCUCAUUAAGUCACAUGUGAAAUCCCCGGGGCUUAACCUGGGAACUGCAUGUGAUACUGGUGGUGCUAGAAUAUGUGAGAGGGAAGUAGAAUUCCAGGUGUAGCGGUGAAAUGCGUAGAGAUCUGGAGGAAUACCGAUGGCGAAGGCAGCUUCCUGGCAUAAUAUUGACACUGAGAUUCGAAAGCGUGGGUAGCAAACAGGAUUAGAUACCCUGGUAGGAUAGCG